rnacentral:sRNA from 1 species
GCUAAACGCUCCUCUCUCCUAGCAUGCUUCCUUUCUCGGCUAGCCUUGUUCUUCGCCCUCUUAGCCUCAAACUGAUCAGACAGAGUCUUCUCCCUAGCCUUCUCAGCCUUUGACUUGUGGAUACUCUCCAUCAAGACACGCUUGUUCUUGAACACAUUACCCUUAACACGCAUGUACAUGUCAUGGUACAUGUGCUUGUCAAUCUUCUUCGUCUCUCUGUAUUUCUUCAACAGACGCCUAAGAACACGCAUCCUACGCAUCCACAGUACCUUUGUUGGCAACCUAGCUUCACGGGUACCCUUCCUCUUACCUAUUUAAUCAUAAACACAGGAAAAA